UACGUAGGGGGCAAGCGUUGUCCGGAUUUAUUGGGCGUAAAGAGCGUGUAGGCGGUUUGGUAGGUCCGCUGUGAAAACUCGAGGCUCAACCUCGAGACGCCGGUGGAAACCAUCAGGCUAGAGUCCGGAAGAGGAGAGUGGAAUUCCUGGUGUAGCGGUGAAAUGCGCAGAUAUCAGGAGGAACACCGAUGGCGAAGGCAGGUCUCUGGGCCAUUACUGACACUGAGAAGCGAAAAGCAUGGGGAGCGAACAGG
rnacentral:rRNA from 1 species